rnacentral:sRNA from 1 species
AGCCGCGGUCUAGGACUACUAGGUCCUGC